rnacentral:misc_RNA from 1 species
GAUGAAGAACGUAGCGAAAUGCGAUACUUGGUGUGAAUUGCAGAAUCCCGUGAACCAUCGAGUCUUUGAACGCCAGUUGCGCCUCAAGCCAUUAGGUUGAGGGCACGUCUGCCUGGGCGUCACAUAUCGUUGCCUGAUGCCAGUUUCCUCGUGAUGGGUGACUGUGCAGGGCGAAUGAUGGCUUCCCGUGAGCAUUGUUGCCUCAUGGUUGGUUGAAAAUUGAGUCCUUGGUAGGGAGCGCCGUGAUAGAUGGUGGUUGAGUGACGAACGAGACCCAAUCAUGUGAGACCCCUAUCGAAUUUGGCCUUCAUGACCCACAUGCGUCUUUGGAACGCUCAUGACGAGACCUCAGGUCAGGCGGGGCUACCCGCUGAGUUUAAGCAUAUCAAUAAGCGGAGGA